AGACCCGAAACCCGGUGAUCUAGCCAUGGGCAGGUUGAAGGUUGGGUAACACUAACUGGAGGACCGAACCGACUAAUGUUGAAAAAUUAGCGGAUGACCUGUGGCUGGGGGUGAAAGGCCAAUCAAACCGGGAGAUAGCUGGUUCUCCCCGAAAGCUAUUUAGGUAGCGCCUCGUGAAUUCAUCUCCGGGGGUAGAGCACUGUUUCGGCUAGGGGGCCAUCCCGGCUUACCAACCCGAUGCAAACUGCGAAUACCGGAGAAUGUUAUCACGGGAGACACACGGCGGGUGCUAACGUCCGUCGUGAAGAGGGAAACAACCCAGACCGCCAGCUAAGGUCCCAAAGUCAUGGUUAAGUGGGAAACGAUGUGGGAAGGCCCAGACAGCCAGGAUGUUGGCUUAGAAGCAGCCAUCAUUUAAAGAAAGCGUAAUAGCUCACUGGUCGAGUCGGCCUGCGCGGAAGAUGUAACGGGGCUAAACCAUGCACCGAAGCUGCGGCAGCGAACGUAUCACCCAAGACAACUUUACGGAGUUGACGAUUGACGGAGCGAAGCGACGUCAAAGCGUUCAUUAAAGUCGAGUUGGCUUAGGGAUACGUUCGUUGGGUAGGGGAGCGUUCUGUAAGCCUGUGAAGGUGUGUCGUGAGGCAUGCUGGAGGUAUCAGAAGUGCGAAUGCUGACAUAAGUAACGAUAAAGCGGGUGAAAAGCCCGCUCGCCGGAAGACCAAGGGUUCCUGUCCAACGUUAAUCGGGGCAGGGUGAGUCGACCCCUAAGGCGAGGCCGAAAGGCGUAGUCGAUGGGAAACGGGUUAAUAUUCCCGUACUUGGUGUUACUGCGAAGGGGGGACGGAGAAGGCUAUGUUGGCCGGGCGACGGUUGUCCCGGUUUAAGCGUGUAGGUGUGUGUUCCAGGUAAAUCCGGUUCACUUUAACACUGAGGCGUGAUGACGAGGCACUACGGUGCUGAAGCAACAAAUGCCCUGCUUCCAG
rnacentral:rRNA from 1 species